rnacentral:lncRNA from 1 species
UUUAUUGGAAGUCGAUGUCUACAUCUGCAUAACAUAUUUUCUUUUUUGUGUUCCCCAGGUUGCAGUUUUGAUCUUUGCUGAAGACUCAAGACCACACAGGUGGUGGUGUCUCUUGAAGGCUGACAGCAUAUGAUGCCAUUCACCGCGACUAGCGCCACGCGAUGACUGCAGGUUGAGGAGUAAGUGAGGGAAAGGGAGAGCGAAAUCAAGGAGAGAGACUGACACACACCUCACACAUUGGAGUUUGGAGUCACUGUGCAGCCCAGAAAGGUGAGCGGAGGAGAGAAUAUCUUACCUAAUGUUGAGCUUUCCCAGU